UGGCCAGACUCCUACGGGAGGCAGCAGUGGGGAAUAUUGCACAAUGGGGGAAACCCUGAUGCAGCGACGCCGCGUGAGCGAUGAAGUAUUUCGGUCUGUAAAGCUCUAUCAGCAGGGAAGAAAAUGACGGUACCUGACUAAGAAGCCCCGGCUAACUACGUGCCAGCAGCCGCGGUAAUACGUAGGGGGCAAGCGUUAUCCGGAUUUACUGGGUGUAAAGGGAGCGUAGACGGCUGUGCAAGCCAGAUGUGAAAGCCCGGGGCUCAACCCCGGGACUGCAUUUGGAACUGUGUAGCUGGAGUGUCGGAGAGGCAGGCGGAAUUCCUAGUGUAGCGGUGAAAUGCGUAGAUAUCAGGAGGAACACCGGCGGCGAAGGCGGCCUGCUGGACCGCGACUGACGUUGAGGCUCGAAAGCGUGGGUAUCGAACAGGAUUAGAUACCCUCGUAA
rnacentral:rRNA from 1 species